AUUUUAUAGUAAUCAUUUAUAUCCUGAUGUAUGAAUGUCUAAUCAACAUGUCAGGGCAUAAUCAAAAAGACUCAUCUUAGUAUUAAACGAUAGUUUAAUCAUAGGGUGGAAAAUAAUAUGUAUAAAAGUACUCAGUGAAGAUAUUAUUUUGAAUAGAGAAAUCUAAAGUCUAAACGGUUAUGGCACAUUUUUUAAAUGAAUAUUAGUGUAGUUUUGCUCUUGGGUGACGCAAUAGACGCUCUCAGUGAGAGAAUAACCCUAAAACCUAUAAUAAAUAGAGGUAUUUGUUAUAGUAAGUAGGGAAUACCUAAAUAAGUCAUUUUGCCGUGAAGUUAUGAAAAUAACUAUAACAAGAGAAGAAACUAUGAGUAGCCUAAUACGGCAGACAACAGAUUUAAAACAAAUAUUUAAAAACAAGUCUACUAAUAGGGGUUGUUUGUUUAAAAACAAGUUUUAAUUUAAUUCUGAAUGAUAGGUGAAAGUUAUAGGUGAUAUUCCUAUUAUGGCUUGGGUUUUUAUAAACCAGGGUAAGAACUUAAAGGGUCGCAGCUUUAGGUCAGACUUAUCUUCCAUAUCGCAUAAUAAAUUGCAGUUUAAAAAAUGUAGCUGAUAAAAAAGCAUGUUAAUGAUUACUAUAAA
rnacentral:ncRNA from 1 species